rnacentral:tRNA from 10 species
CGCCGGCGCCGGGCGGGCACACUGGACCAGCGUUCCCAGAACACUCCGCGAAGGUGUUCCUGAACUUCAUUUCCCAGAGGCUUUAGCUAACGUGUACUUUCGCCCUGCGAUGGGCCGCACAUUUUCGCCGCCAGUCUUUUGCUCCUGUUUCAGGCAAAACUUGGAAGCAGCCAGAUGUCCUUCAGUACAUGAAUGAAUACAUAAACUAUGGUACAUUCAGACAAUGGAACAUUCAGUAAGGAAAAGAAAUGAGCUAUCAAGCUACCAAAAAGGAAGAACAGAAGAAUAUUAAGUGCGUAUUGGUGAGUGAAAGAAGUCAAUCUGGAAAAGGCUAUAUACUGUAUAAUUCCAUCUACAUAACAUUCCUGAAAAGGCUAAUCUAUGGAAACAGCAAAGAUUGGUGGUUGCCAGGGGCUUAGGGGGAGGGAAAAAGGGAAGAAUAAGUGACAUUCAGUGGAUUUUAAGAGGGAAGAAUAAGUGACGUUCAGUGGAUUUUAAGAGGGAAGAAUAAGUGACGUUCAGUGGAUUUUUAAGGCAGUGAAACUAUUCUGUAUGAUAUUGUAAUGGCGAAUACAUGUUGUUAUACAUUUGUUAAAACCCAUAGAAUAUACAGCACAAAGAGUGAACCGUAAUAUAAACUAUGGUCUUUAGUUAAUAAUAAUUUAUCAACAUUGGCUCAUCAAUUUUAACAGAUGUACCACACUAGUGCAAGAUGUUAAUAAUAGAGAAACUGGGGGAGGAGGGGAGAAGGAAGGAGUAUACUGAAACUCUACUUUCUGCUCAAUUUUUCUAUAAACCUAAAACUGUUCCCAAAAUGUUCUAUUAAAUUUAAAAUAUAAGAAUGUUAAAUAUGCUUAUGGUAAGGUCUCAGAAGGAAAUUAAUGACAUGCAAUUAGAAACUGAAGGAAUGGUUAUCUUGUUAUAAAGUGGGAGAGCCUUGGCUGAAUUGUAUUCUAUAUUUGGGUGGAAAACAGAAUUUGUACAUGAUGAACUUGAAUAUUUAGUUAAGAAGACUUCCAAGUAAAAUGUGGAAUGUGCAACCUGGUUAGUUAUUGCUGCUUAUGGUGAAAUGCAUGAGGAAAGAAAUAAACUGAGGAAGGAACUAUUCAGCACAAAGGAACCAGCACUCAUGAUUUGGAAAACUUUUAGCCAUACCUUAUACAAAUGAGGCUUUCAAUACAUGUUGAGGACACAGAAAGAUAUAAUUUUUGUCUUCAGUGACUUCUCUAUAUGUUGCACAAAGUGGCCUCCAACUCCUGACCUCAAGCAAUCCUCCCACCUCGGCCUUCCUAAAUGCUGGGGUUACAGUCCAUAAGCCACUGAACCCAGCCCUCAGAAACCUUUUGUGCUUAAAAAAACACCUCAGCAAAAUACAAAGCAACUAGUGAUAUAUUUGAACUGAAAUUACUAAUCAACUUUGGCUUGUUUUACUGUAACAAUGACUAGGGACUGGCCACAGCUGCAAUCUUACUUGUUUUACUGGGCUGAAAACAAAAACAUAGUAGAAUGGAUCUCAGUAAAGGUAGAGAGUCAGGACUUAGUUGCAGGAAACAAAAACCAGUCCAGUUUCUACUUUAGCCCUAAAUUGGAAACAAAUCAAAUGUCCUUCUAUACUUAAAAAGGCAAAUUGUCAGUUUUUCUUCAAAUACAAGGAAUACAAAGAAAAUACAUUUUUUUUCUACAAAGAAAAAAAAGUUAGCUAGGAGUGGUGGUGCAUGCUUCUAUUCCUAGCUACUCUGGAGGCUGAGGCAGAAGGAUGGCUUGUGCCCAAGAGUUCAGGUUACAGUAAGCUAUGAUGGUGCCACUGCACUCCAGUCUGUGUGAUAGAGUAAGACCCUGAUUCUAAAAUUUUUUUAAAUUUCUUAAAAGAGAUUUGAUAUUUCUUUGGUAUCUAACUUUAUUCAAAGCUGGAGUUGCAAAUGAUUUCAGCAAAAAAAAAUAAAGAUGUGCUUGAUAAAAAUAUGUCCACCAAAUAAAAAGGAUGUGAUAUGCAUUAACUAUGAACAACAAUCUAUAGCACAACUUAUAUUUGUAUGGACACCUGGCUACCCCAUCAAACUGCUUCAUGUCUAUUCCCUCAAAUUAUGGUCUUCCAUAAAACUAGUGAAUUUCUUUUAGUCUUCUUUUGAGCCUGUAGGGGUGAGAGAAUCUUUUUUCUCCCUUCUGGAGGUUGGAUAUUUGAGUCUGAGAAAUAAAGCUGCUAGUAGACAGAUUAACAGAAGAAAAGGCAUACACAUUUAUUAUGCACAUAUGCACAGAGGUCCCAGAAAGUGUAAGUGAGACUCAAAGAAGGGGCAGAUGGUUGAAGCUUAAAUAGGACUUGGAGCUACAUAAAGAAAUAGGAGCUUGAAGGCUCCUGGAAGGUGGUGGCGAGAAGCAAUGUGAGGGUCAGGGCAGGAACAGCUCUGGGAACAAAGCUUGUCUUAUUAUACAGAUAAAGUCUCUCAAGUAGCAGCCCUCAGAAUAGGUGGUGAAGAAAAGAAUUGAAGUCUGGCUGGGCGAGAUGUCCCGGGCAUGGAGACCUUUAGUUUUCUCUCCUGGGAUCUGAGUUAAUCUUCUCUGGUUAAUACAGAUUCCAGGAGAGGGUUCAUGACAAUCUCUUUCCUUCUGGAGGAACCUCCGUAAGUCAAAUAAGGGAAACUUCAGUGAAAGCCCCUCCCUGCCAUUCAAGAAAGAAAGAGGAUCAGGAGGCAGUGGGGCUGCGGAAGGUCAGAGAGACUUUGAUUCUGAGGUUGCUUCUUUAGUUCAAAGUACUCAGCACUUCCAAGAGCCAUACUUUGGGGUAUCAUUUUCUGAGCUCUAACAAGGGUCCUCAGAAAAUCUCUGUCUCUUCCCUUCCCGGUCUUCCUUCGUUUCUCCUCUUCCUCUUCCUCCUCUUCUUUCUCCUUCAUCCUCUUCUUUCUACCUCCUGUCCCUCCUUCCUUUCUCUCUUCUCCUUUCUGGUCACUUUCUUCUUUUCCUCUUCCUUCUUGUCCCUCUUCCUCAUUUAUCUACUUAGUCGACAUGAUUUCUUAGCUUGCGAUUGUUUCCCUCUUUUCUUAGAUUAGUAUAUGGUUCCAAGAAGUAGAUGAAAGCCAAUUACAAUAAUCUGUGCAUCCAAAGGGCUCAGGGAAACUCCAGGACCGGCAGCUUUAGACUUCAAGACGGAAGCAUAAGAGGAAAAGAAAACAUACUGCGUGGGUUAGAUUUUGAGAGAAGGAGCGUCUGCCUUGGCCAAAAAUCAAAGUAGGAUCUUCCUUUUGAUAGGUAACCUGGUUCCAUGGGAACUCAUGAACAAUCUAUAAAUUUCUUUCUUAACCCAACUGAAGCGUGGAAGCGCAUUGUGAAAUGCAAAAUGCCGUGCAAACGAGACCGGGUAGAUAUACUCCCUUGGGUUGGUGUGAGCCUAGAGACUUAGGGACCUCAUCAGAGCAAGAAAGUGCAAGUAGGCUUUUCUGCAUCAUUUUCUGGCCCUCCAGUUCAGACACAAAUCAAAAGUUAGUCCCUUCUUGAAAGCCAUUAGCAUUCAUCAAGGAGCCUCAAUGAGAGGAAGUUUCAAACAAAAACUAAAUGUGUCAGGCCCAGAUUUACGGUGAGGGUCUGAUUCCACUUCCUUGCGGGGUCAGUUUGGGUCCAGGUGAGAGAGGUACAGUGGUCUCUAGUUUUCUGGAAACGGUACUGCUGAUAGGGCAAGGACUCCUUGCGGCUGCCCCAGAGAGGUUGGCUUGUCUUAUCCAACUUGCACUUCACGUUAGAGUUUCUAAUGAACUCGCAGACUCCAGUUUCUUGCCCAGGAAACCAUUUUUACCGUAUUUUGUUCUUUUGACCGUUUCUUGUCAGUUAGCUGGUGUAAAUUCUGUUUAAAGAUGUGAAGGGAGCCUUCUCCAUUCGUGUAGUCGUGGCCGAGUGGUUAAGGCGAUGGACUAGAAAUCCAUUGGGGUCUCCCCGCGCAGGUUCGAAUCCUGCCGACUACGGGAUGUUUUACUGAGAACAGUUCAGCGAGGAAAUAGGAUCUCACAUUUGCUUUCAGUUUGGGAGUAAAGAAACUCGUGAUAGAGCCUCUGCGUGUCACCUAACAUAGCCUGAACUUUUGCCGACUUCGGGAUGUUUUACUGAGAACAGUUCAGAGAGGAAAUACGAUGUCAUAUUUGCUUUCAGUUUGGGAGUAAAGGAACUCGUAAUAGAGCUUCUGCGUGCCACUUAACGCAGCCUGAACUUUUGCCGACUUCGGGAUGUUUUACUGAGAACAGAGAGGAAUCGUAUUUACUUCAGAGAGGAAAUACGAUGUCAUAUUUGCUUUCAGUUUGGGGGCGAGGGAACUCGUGAUAAAGCUUCUGCGUGCCACUUGACGCAUCCUGAACUUUAAAAAUACAUCUGCAGACUCUUUAUCUAUUUUACCUCAACGGAGCGCAGGGUCUGACAAAGCGUCCGAGGAAUGAAGGAGGAACUGGAGAGGAUUCGCGGUUGGGCGGAGACACGUUCGCUGAAUUGCCUUGCGUAUAUUUGGUAGGGGAAACGUGUGACUACAGAGCAAAGAAAGAUGGACAAUAGCGAGUAACUUCACAGGGAUUUCCUAAGAGCUCCAUUUUCACGUCAAUUCCUCGUUAGUAUAGUG